rnacentral:RNase_P_RNA from 1 species
UGAGUCAGUUAAACGGUCGCUGUACCUUAUAGGUGCAGAGGAAAGUCCGGGCUCCAUUGGGUCAGAGCGCCAGGUAACACCUGGGGAGCGUGAGCUCACGGAAAGUGCAGCAGAAAGGAAACCGCCUGAAUGUCAUUCAGGUAAGGGUGAAAAGGUGCGGUAAGAGCGCACCGCGCGGCUGGUAACAGGCGUGGCGAUGGUAAACCCCGCUCGGAGCAAGACCAAAUAGGGAUCCUUAUGCCGUGACCCUCGGCGGAUCCGGGUAGGUCGCUACAGGCACUUGGCGACGAGUGUCGCAGAUGAAUGACCGUUCACGACAGAACCCGGCUUAUCGAUUGACUCACUUA